UACAGGGGGUGCAAACGUUGCUCGGAAUCAUUGGGCGUAAAGCGCACGUAGGCGGUCUGUUAUGUCGGAUGUGAAAGCCCUCGGCUCAACUGAGGAAGUGCAUCCGAAACUGGCAGGCUAGAGUACUAAAGAGGGUCGCGGAAUUCCCGGUGUAGAGGUGAAAUUCGUAGAUAUCGGGAGGAACACCGGUGGCGAAGGCGGCGACCUGGGUAGAUACUGACGCUGAGGUGCGAAAGCGUGAGGAGCAAACAGG
rnacentral:rRNA from 1 species